CCUACGGGAGGCAGCAGUGAGGAAUAUUGGUCAAUGGGCGCGAGCCUGAACCAGCCAAGUAGCGUGAAGGAUGACUGCCCUACGGGUUGUAAACUUCUUUUAUAAAGGAGUAAACUGAGGCACGUGUGCCUGUCUGUAUGUAUCUUAUGAAUAAGGAUCGGCUAACUCCGUGCCAGCAGCCGCGGUAAUACGGAGGAUCCAAGCGUUAUCCGGAUUUAUUGGGUUUAAAGGGAGCGUAGAUGGGUGGUUAAGUCAGUGGUGAAAGUUUGCGGAUCAACCGUAAAAUUGCAUUUGAUACUGGCAGUCUUGAGUACAGUUGAGGUAGGCGGAAUGCGUGGUGUAGCGGUGAAAUGCUUAGAUAUCACACAGAACUCCGAUUGCGAAGGCAGCUUACUAAACUGCCACUGACGUUGAUGCUCGAAAGUGUGGGGAUCAAACAGGAUUAGAUACCCGGGUAGUC
rnacentral:rRNA from 1 species